rnacentral:rRNA from 1 species
AGUGAACGCUGGCGGUAGGCCUAACACAUGCAAGUCGAACGGCAGCACAGUAAGAGCUUGCUCUUACGGGUGGCGAGUGGCGGACGGGUGAGGAAUACAUCGGAAUCUACUUUUUCGUGGGGGAUAACGUAGGGAAACUUACGCUAAUACCGCAUACGACCUACGGGUGAAAGCAGGGGAUCUUCGGACCUUGCGCGAUUGAAUGAGCCGAUGUCGGAUUAGCUAGUUGGCGGGGUAAAGGCCCACCAAGGCGACGAUCCGUAGCUGGUCUGAGAGGAUGAUCAGCCACACUGGAACUGGGACACGGUCCAGACUCCUACGGGAGGCAGCAGUGGGGAAUAUUGGACAAUGGGCGCAAGCCUGAUCCAGCCAUACCGCGUGGGUGAAGAAGGCCUUCGGGUUGUAGAGCCCUUUUGUUGGGAAAGAAAAGCAGCAGGUUAAUACCCCGCUGUUCUGACGGUACCCAAAGAAUAAGCACCGGCUAACUUCGUG